AAAGUGUAGCAAUACAUGAGUACAGCGGCGCACGGGUGAGUAACACGUGGGUAAUCUGCCCUAGAGUGGGGAAUAACACCGGGAAACCGGUGCUAAUACCGCAUACGAUCACGAUGUCUGCGGACGUUGUGAUGAAAGGAGCAAUUCGCUCUUGGAGGAGCCCGCGGCUGAUUAGCUAGUUGGUAAGGUAACGGCUUACCAAGGCAACGAUCAGUAGCCGGUCUGAGAGGACGGUCGGCCACACUGGAACUGAGACACGGUCCAGACUCCUACGGGAGGCAGCAGUGGGGAAUUUUUCGCAAUGGGGGCAACCCUGACGAAGCAACGCCGCGUGGGUGAUGAAGUAUCUCGGUACGUAAAACCCUUUCGACGGGGAAGAAAACCGCAAGGUUUGACGGUACCCGUAGAAGAAGCCCCGGCUAACUCCGUGCCAGCAGCCGCGGUAAUACGGGGGGGGCAAGCGUUGUUCGGAAUUACUGGGCGUAAAGGGCGCGUAGGCGGUUUGCUAAGUUGAAUGUGAAAACUCUGGGCUUAACCCAGAGCCUGCAUUCAAUACUGGCAGGCUAGAGUUCUGGAGGGGAUAGCGGAAUUCCUGGUGUAGCGGUGAAAUGCGUAGAUAUCAGGAGGAACACCGGUGGCGAAGGCGGCUAUCUGGACAGAGUCUGACGCUGAGGCGCGAAAGCUAGGGGAGCAAACAGGAUUAGAUACCCUGGUAGUCCUAGCCCUAAACGAUGGAUACUUGCUGUGACUGGGAUUGAAUCCAGCCGUGGCGAAGCUAACGCAUUAAGUAUCCCGCCUGGGGAGUACGGUCGCAAGGCUG
rnacentral:rRNA from 1 species